UAUGGCCAUAUCACGUUGAAACACCGGUUCUCGUACGAUCACCGAAUUAAGGUAACAUCGAACCUGGCCAGUACCUAGAUGGGUGAUCGCUUGGGAUUACUAGAUGCUGUAAG